rnacentral:misc_RNA from 1 species
AAGUCGUAACAAGGUUUCCGUAGGUGAACCUGCGGAAGGAUCAUUAACACGUAUCAGUACGUCACCAUGAACCAUACCACCCCAAACGUGUCCUGUAUGUGGAAUGGGUCUUCGGUCCUCCACCGCAUGCGCCUCUCGGCAUCGGUCGAAUCGGUGUCCUAGGACAUCCUCGACCAGUGUCCUCAACCUACCUCUUUUUUUUUCACCCCUUCUUUUUUGACUCACCCUUCACAACCCAACUGGUCUGAUCAUGUACGUGUCUAUAACUGCAAGGUUCUGGACCGCACCAUAUGAAUGUUGGAAACAACAUUUUCAAUGAAAUACAACUCUUAGCAAUGGAUAUCUUGGUUCUC